GAUCCUGGCUUAGGACGAACGCUGGCGGCGUGCUUAACACAUGCAAGUCGAACGAGAAUCUACAGAUCGAGGAUUCGUCCAAGUGAAGUAGAGGACAGUGGCGGACGGGUGAGUAACGCGUGAGGAACCUGCCUUUCAGAGGGGGACAACAGUUGGAAACGACUGCUAAUACCGCAUGACACAUUGGGGUCGCAUGGCCCUGAUGUCAAAGAUUUAUCGCUGAAAGAUGGCCUCGCG
rnacentral:rRNA from 1 species